rnacentral:rRNA from 1 species
CCUACGGGUGGCUGCAGUGGGGAAUAUUGGACAAUGGGCGAAAGCCUGAUCCAGCCAUGCCGCGUGUGUGAAGAAGGCCUUCGGGUUGUAAAGCACUUUCAGUGGGGAAGAAAGCCUUGGGGCUAAUACCCUCGAGGAAGGACAUCACCCACAGAAGAAGCACCGGCUAACUCCGUGCCAGCAGCCGCGGUAAUACGGAGGGUGCGAGCGUUAAUCGGAAUUACUGGGCGUAAAGCGCGCGUAGGCGGUCUGAUAAGCCGGUUGUGAAAGCCCCGGGCUCAACCUGGGAACGGCAUCCGGAACUGUCAGGCUAGAGUGCAGGAGAGGAAGGUAGAAUUCCCGGUGUAGCGGUGAAAUGCGGAGAGAUCGGGAGGAAUACCAGUGGCGAAGGCGGCCUUCUGGACUGACACUGACGCUGAGGUGCGAAAGCGUGGGUAGCAAACAGGAGUAGAUACCCGUGUAGUC